rnacentral:rRNA from 1 species
AUUGAACGCUGGCGGCAGGCCUAACACAUGCAAGUCGAGCGGAUGAAGGGAGCUUGCUCCUGGAUUCAGCGGCGGACGGGUGAGUAAUGCCUAGGAAUCUGCCUGGUAGUGGGGGAUAACGUCCGGAAACGGGCGCUAAUACCGCAUACGUCCUGAGGUAGAAAGUGGGGGAUCUUCGGACCUCACGCUAUCAGAUGAGCCUAGGUCGGAUUAGCUAGUUGGUGGGGUAAAGGCCUACCAAGGCGACGAUCCGUAACUGGACUGAGAGGAUGAUCAGUCACACUGGAACUGAGACACGGUCCAGACUCCUACGGGAGGCAGCAGUGGGGAAUAUUGGACAAUGGGCGAAAGCCUGAUCCAGCCAUGCCGCGUGUGUGAAGAAGGUCUUCGGAUUGUAAAGCACUUUAAGUUGGGAGGAAGGGCAGUAAGUUAAUACCUUGCUGUUUUGACGUUACCAACAGAAUAAGCACCGGCUAACUUCGUG